AGAUUUUUGAAUCCGUGCUGAGAUUUCGUCAGACACCAACCCCCUAGGGCUGUUCAGACUUCCAAGAUAAGUGGAGUU
rnacentral:pre_miRNA from 1 species